rnacentral:lncRNA from 1 species
AAUGUGAUGAAGAACCAAUGUGGGCUAUAAUUGCCCAGGAGGGCUUCCCUGGAGAUGUGGGGUUAAUCUGAGCCAUGAAGAAUGAUUAUGGGUUGGCCAGGCCAGUUGGGGAGGGAAGGAUGGCCAGAGGUAGAAUGAAAGGGAGAGGACAGAGAGGCGCCAUGGCUGAAGGGACACCAUCCUUCCUUCCUCUCCCGCUGCAUCCAUAUGACUUGUGUCCUGCUGCUGCUGAGUGCCAGUGGGUAAAUACCUUCUCUAGAGCCCCAGCCCCUCCUUCGGCUCAAAAAGAUAACUGUAAAACCAUCAUCAGGGGAUCUGGCUAACAGUGUGAGAAGCUGCCUAAUUCUGACUACACCUUCUGACCUCACUCUGGUGUGGACUUGAAGAGGGUGCUCUUGGAUCCAAGAACUUGAGACCAACUCUAACUAUCUUAAUCUAUUUAUUGAGAGUGUAUCAGAGCUUGCAGAACCAACCCAAUGUGUGGGUUUGGGUGUGGAGAGCAAACACAGUAGUCCUGAAGGCUGGAAAGCUGGUCUUUCACCUGGAAUGGGUGGGCUUGGACAUCACCUCUGCAUUGCUGGACUGUGGUAUGGUCUCACACCACAAGAAGAUUUAAGCAACCUUAUUAACUUAAUAAAGAUUUAAAGACGUUGAGCCUGUC